CGAACAGACGAGGAGCUUGCUCCUCUGACGUUAGCGGCGGACGGGUGAGUAACACGUGGAUAACCUACCUAUAAGACUGGGAUAACUUCGGGAAACCGGAGCUAAUACCGGAUAAUAUAUUGAACCGCAUGGUUCAAUAGUGAAAGACGGUUUUGCUGUCACUUAUAGAUGGAUCCGCGCCGCAUUAGCUAGUUGGUAAGGUAACGGCUUACCAAGGCAACGAUGCGUAGCCGACCUGAGAGGGUGAUCGGCCACACUGGAACUGAGACACGGUCCAGACUCCUACGGGAGGCAGCAGUAGGGAAUCUUCCGCAAUGGGCGAAAGCCUGACGGAGCAACGCCGCGUGAGUGAUGAAGGUCUUCGGAUCGUAAAACUCUGUUAUUAGGGAAGAACAAAUGUGUAAGUAACUAUGCACGUCUUGACGGUACCUAAUCAGAAAGCCACGGCUAACUACGUGCCAGCAGCCGCGGUAAUACGUAGGUGGCAAGCGUUAUCCGGAAUUAUUGGGCGUAAAGCGCGCGUAGGCGGUUUUUUAAGUCUGAUGUGAAAGCCCACGGCUCAACCGUGGAGGGUCAUUGGAAACUGGAAAACUUGAGUGCAGAAGAGGAAAGUGGAAUUCCAUGUGUAGCGGUGAAAUGCGCAGAGAUAUGGAGGAACACCAGUGGCGAAGGCGACUUUCUGGUCUGUAACUG
rnacentral:rRNA from 1 species